CCUACGGGAGGCAGCAGUAGGGAAUCUUCCACAAUGGGCGAAAGCCUGAUGGAGCAACGCCGCGUGGGUGAAGAAGGUCUUCGGAUCGUAAAACCCUUUUGUUGGAGAAGAAAGUGCGUGAGAGUAACUGUUCACGUUUCGACGGUAUCUAACCAGAAAGCGCCGGCUAACUACGUGCCAGCAGCCGCGGUAAUACGUAGGUGGCAAGCGUUAUUCGGAUUUAUUGGGCGUAAAGGGAACGCAGGCGGUCUUUUAAGUCUGAUGUGAAAGCCUUCGGCUUAACCGGAGUAGUGCAUUGGAAACUGGGGGACUUGAGUGCAGAAGAGGAGAGUGGAACUCCAGGUGUAGCGGUGAAAUGCGUAGAUAUAUGGAAGAACACCAGUGGCGAAAGCGGCUCUCUGGACUGUAACUGACGCUGAGGUUCGAAAGCGUGGGUAGCAAACAGGAUUAGAUACCCUUGUAGUC
rnacentral:rRNA from 1 species